AGAACGAACGCUGGCGGCAGGCCUAAUACAUGCAAGUCGAACGCACUCUUCGGAGUGAGUGGCAGACGGGUGAGUAACGCGUGGGAACCUUCCCAAUGGUACGGAAUAACUCCGGGAAACCGGUGCUAAUACCGUAUAAGCCCCUCGGGGGAAAGAUUUAUCGCCAUUGGAUGGGCCCGCGUCGGAUUAGCUAGUUGGUAAGGUAAUGGCUUACCAAGGCUACGAUCCGUAGCUGGUCUGAGAGGAUGAUCAGCCACACUGGGACUGAGACACGGCCCAGACUCCUACGGGAGGCAGCAGUAGGGAAUCUUGGACAAUGGGCGAAAGCCUGAUCCAGCCAUGCCGCGUGAGUGAAGAAGGCCUUAGGGUUGUAAAGCUUCGUUUUGGGCGGGGACGAUAAUGACGGUACCCGCAGAAUAACGCCCCGGCUAACUUCGUGCCAGCAGCCGC
rnacentral:rRNA from 1 species